GGGGAAUAUUGGACAAUGGGGGAAACCCUGAUCCAGCAAUGCCGCGUGAGUGAUGAAGGCCUUAGGGUUGUAAAGCUCUUUUACCAGGGAUGAUAAUGACAGUACCUGGAGAAUAAGCUCCGGCUAACUCCGUGCCAGCAGCCGCGGUAAUACGGAGGGAGCUAGCGUUGUUCGGAAUUACUGGGCGUAAAGCGCGCGUAGGCGGCUAUUUAAGUCAGAGGUGAAAUCCCGGGGCUCAACCCCGGAACUGCCUUUGAAACUAGAUGGCUAGAAUCCUGGAGAGGCGAGUGGAAUUCCGAGUGUAGAGGUGAAAUUCGUAGAUAUUCGGAAGAACACCAGUGGCGAAGGCGACUCGCUGGACAGGUAGUGACGCUGAGGGGCGAAAGCGUGGGGAGCAAAC
rnacentral:rRNA from 1 species